AUGGCUUUUAGUGGCAAAUAUUUGGUGGCAAUAAGAUAAUUGCCGCUAAUUCACUUAAUAAAGUCAAAUAUUUGGGGGCAAUUGACCAUUUGCCGUUAAUAAAAAUAUUUUUGUGGCAAUGGAGAAGAACAGACUAAGGAUCAUUUUUUAUGUCUUCUCUCCAUUUUUUUCCCUCGAUUGAGAAGAAUGUUUUAUUUCUCUUCAGAAUCAAUUUACUCAAUUAGUCCUUUUUGCUAAACAAAAUUUUGCCCAUAUAACACUUUGAGCGAUCGUGAUACCGUCUCCGAUCAAUCUCUGACAAACCCGCUAUGCCUUUCUCCGGUGAAAAUGACUGGUUGUGUUGUUAUCUCGGGUGUUAAGGAAGUGCAAUAUGACUGUUGUAUUAGCAGGUUACAAAAAAAUAUUUGAUAUCUUCUCGAGUUGGAAUGCUAGUUCAGCAUUGAUGAGAAUUUAGGUCAAAGGAAGAGGAGGAUACGCUAUAUGAAGUACAACUAAUUUCCAACCCAACACUAUAGAUUGCUGGCAUCUAUUUUGGAGGCUGCUGUUUCUAUUAAAGUUAGUAAGAUACCUGAGAAUGUUGGAAAGCUUAUAACGGUGCUACUCUAAGAAGUCUUUUGAUGGAGUGAUGGACCAAGGAUUGAUCUUCUAGACAAAGCGUUAAGGAUGGUAGACCGUUGGAUGAGGAGUCUUCAAAUACAGUUGUAUGAUUUCUUAUACAAUUUUAUAGUGGCUCACUCUUCACUAAGAAUUUAUACAAGAAUAUUCGACUCAAGAUCAUGCUAAAUAUAGAUGCCGAGAAUAUCACAUCGUCAAUGAGGGAGAAGAAGAUCAAGAAUAUCACAUUGUUAAUAAGGGAUGUGGUCUACAACCUAAAGUUUAGUUGUCUUGUACAUUAGGAUGCUUACAUCUUUUACAAGUCGCUAUAUGAGUUGAUGUGUUGAGUUUGAUAGUUCUUGUUUUAAGUGAAUGACAUUAUGAGUGAUAAUUCUUCUAGUAUGAGCCUUGUAACUGAUUGUUCUUGUGUUUGAUGUUAUAAAAUAGUACUCGGUUAAAUAUGUGAAUUGAAGUGAAUUUAUGGUCAA